UACGUAGGGGGCAAGCGUUGUCCGGAUUUAUUGGGCGUAAAGAGCUCGUAGGUGGUUCGGUAAGUCGGAUGUGAAAUCUCCAGGCUCAACCUGGAGGGGUCAUUCGAUACUGCCGUGACUAGAGUUCGGUAGGGGAGUGUGGAAUUCCUGGUGGAGCGGUGAAAUGCGUAGAUAUCUGGAGGAACACCGGUGGCGAAGGCGGCGUUCUGGACUGCAACUGACACUGAGAGACGAAAGCCAGGGGAGCAAACGGG
rnacentral:rRNA from 1 species